GAUGAAGAACGUAGCGAAAUGCGAUACGUAAUGUGAAUUGCAAAUUCAGUGAAUCAUCGAGUCUUUGAACGCACAUUGCGCCCCCUGGUAUUCCGGGGGGCAUGCCUGUCCGAGCGUCAUUGCUGCCCUCAAGCACGGCUUGUGUGUUGGGUCUCCGUCCUCCUCCCGGGGGACGGGCCCGAAAGGCAGCGGCGGCACCGCGUCCGGUCCUCGAGCGUAUGGGGCUUCGUCACCCGCUCUUGUAGGCCCGGCCGGCGCUUGCCGACACAUCAAUCUUUUUUCCAGGUUGACCUCGGAUCAGGUAGGGAUACCCGCUGAACUUAAGCAUAUCAAUAAGCGGAGGA
rnacentral:misc_RNA from 1 species